rnacentral:rRNA from 1 species
UGGGGAAUAUUGCGCAAUGGGCGAAAGCCUGACGCAGCGACGCCGCGUGGGUGAUGAAGGCCUUCGGGUCGUAAAGCCCUGUCGGGAGGGACGAAACCUCGGUGACCUAAUACGUCACCGACCUGACGGUACCUCUUAAGGAAGCACCGGCUAACUCCGUGCCAGCAGGCGCGGUAAUACGGAGGGUGCGAGCGUUAUCCGGAUUUACUGGGUUUAAAGGGUGCGUAGGUGGGCUUAUAAGUCAGUGGUGAAAUCUCCGAGCUUAACUUGGAAACUGCCGUUGAUACUAUAGGUCUUGAAUUAUCUGGAGGUAAGCGGAAUAUGUCAUGUAGCGGUGAAAUGCUUAGAUAUUACAUAGAACACCAAUUGCGAAGGCAGCUUACUACAUAUAAAUUGACGCUGAGGCACGAAAGCGUGGGGAUCAAACA